UCCAUUCUCCUUCCCACAGAACAAGUGCUUGCUGGCUAGGGAUCAUAUGAACCAAGCACAGCCAAGGAGUAGCAGAAAUGUGAUCUGCGAAUCUCUGCAAAUUAAAAAACAAAGCCCUGCCUCUGAGGAAGUGCGAUGUUCUCAUGGUUGAAAGGGGAAGCUGUGGUGAGCACAAAUGCAUCGGAGGAUUGAAAUGCUUGCGUAUGAAUUUGAUUCACAUGAGGAGACAGGGACUCUUGUUUUGCCACACUGGGCCGGGUGAUGCUGCUCUUCCUUCCUGCUGCAGCAGGCUUAGUAUAUAAGGAAGAGAAUGUGCCUAGGUUAGCCAUCAUUUCAUCUUGUGCCUGACCCAGUUUGGAACAGUGACCCACAAGAGUGAAUGAGAAAAGAAUGAACAAAAGGAGUGAUUCUGUCUGCUUUCCAUAGCCGCUGAAUAUCACAUGAAUAAAAGAAAUCAAACAUAAUAUGUUUAUUUUA